GACGAACGCUGGCGGCGUGCUUAACACAUGCAAGUCGAGCGAUGAAACUACUUCGGUAGUGAAUUAGCGGCGAACGGGUGAGGAACACGUGAGGAAUCUGCCUUCAACACUGGGAUAACUCCGGGAAACCGGGGCUAAUACCGGAUAUGAGCUCUGAUCGCAUGGUCGGGGCUGUAAAGUUUUUCGGUUGAAGAUGACCUCGCGGCCUAUCAGCUUGUUGGUGAGGUAAUGGCUCACCAAGGCGACGACGGGUAGCCGGCCUGAGAGGGCGACCGGCCACACUGGGACUGAGACACGGCCCAGACUCCUACGGGAGGCAGCAGUGGGGAAUAUUGGGCAAUGGAGGAAACUCUGACCCAGCGACGCCGCGUGCGGGAUGAAGGCCUCGGGUUGUAAACCGCUUCAGUAGGGAAGAAGCGAAAGUGACGGUACCUACAGAAGAAGCACCGGCUAACUAUGUG
rnacentral:rRNA from 1 species